UGUAGUGGAAAACCAGGACCUUUAUCUUGAAAAAAUUAGAGUGUUCAAAGCAGGCUUAUGUUUGAAUACAUUAGAAUGGAAUAAUAAAAUAGGACAGUGGUCCUGUUUUGUUGAUUUCUGAAUCACCAUAAUGGUUAAUAGGGAUAGUUAGGGGCAUUAGUAUUCAAUUGUCAGAGGUGAAAUUCUUGGAUUUAUUGAAGACUAACUUCUGCGAAAGCAUUUGCUAAGGAUGUUUUCAUUAAUCAAGGACGAAAGUUAGGGGAUCGAAGAUAAUCAGAUACCAUCGUAGUCUUAACCAUAAACUAUGCCGACUAGGGACCGGACGAUGUUAAUUUUUCUUGACUCGUUUAGCGCCUUAC
rnacentral:rRNA from 1 species